rnacentral:tRNA from 1 species
GCCGAAGUGGUGGAAUUGGUAGACGCGCACGGUUGAGGGCCGUGUGGGGCAACCCGUGGGAGUUCAAGUCUCCCCUUCGGCACCA